rnacentral:misc_RNA from 1 species
GGACAAAUACCGAUAGCUACACGCGUAUCGAAGCAUUAUGACGUUAGGGAAUUCCGAAAUUCUUGCAAGCAAGAACAGGCAAAAGUAAAUAUAUAAACACACAACGCCGACUCUGAUCUAACAUUUCUGCAAGCUCUCAUCAACCUUGUUCAGCAAUAUCGUAUCUAUACACUGCAAAGAUGCCACCCAAAAGAAAGGCAGCGGCAGCGAAGACGAAGGCAGGAGGCAAAAAGGCGAAGACUAGCGAUCCAAUUGCCGACGACAAACCUGCGACCACCCAUGACGUCAUCGCUAAACUGAAGGCAAGCGAAAACAAGUCUACCAACAAAAAGAGAAAAGUGGACAGCUUCGUCCCUAGUCAAAGCAUCUAUGAGGUUUUUGAGGACUACGACUGUAUGCUGAAUCAAACAAACAUCGGGCACAACAACAACAAAUACUAUGUCAUCCAGGUCCUGAAGAGGGUCGGUAUAAACCAGUACCAUGCCUGGAACCGCUGGGGUCGCGUGGGAGAAUCCGGAGCCACUGCAAUGAAAGGACCUUUUGUUUCCUCUGAUGACGCCAUUAAGGACUUCAAAAAGAAAUUCCAGGACAAGACUGGUAAUAAAUGGGAGAACAGAGACUCGUUCACCCCCAAAACAAAGAAGUACACGAUGAUAGAGAUGUCCCUGGAGGACGACGACGAGGACGAGACGGACGCCUCGGCGCCGACAAAAUCCGCACCCUCUGGACCCGUAGAGAAAUGUACCCUGGACGCCCCCACACAGUCCCUGUUGAACCUCAUCUUUAACCACGACAUGUUCAAAGACGCCAUGAAGAGUUUUGACAUUGACGUAAAGAAAAUGCCACUCGGAAAACUGAGCAAGGCGCAGAUUGCUAAAGGAUUUGAAGUCCUGGAGGAUCUGGAAAAGGCAGUAGACGCUAAAAACAACGCCUGCAAAUUGUGUCCCUCUCUUCAAAAUUUUACACCGUAAUUCCUCACGACUUCGGGAGAAAAGUGCCUCCUGUAAUGAAUACAUUAGAAACCAUUCGAAAAAAAUACGAUAUGUUGUUGGUAUUAGGUGACAUAGAAAUUGCACAGACGUUAGAAAAGGAAAAAGAGAAAGUUGCCUCGGAAUCUGCCAAGCAGCCCCAUCCCUUGGACGUUAACUAUAACUUGCUGAAAUGUGAACUGAAACUGCUGGAUCCAAAAUCCAAAGAGUACAAGACUUUGGAAACUUACACAAAAGAAACCGGAAAGGGUUGGAGAGUCCCUAAAAUAAAACACAUCUGGUCCAUGCAGCGAGAAGGAGAGGGAAAAAGGUUUGCAGAACACAAUAAGAUUACAAACAGAAAACUUCUUUGGCACGGAACCAAUGUAGCGGUGGUUGCAGCCAUUUUGAAGAGUGGACUUCGGAUCAUGCCGCACAGUGGGGGUCGAGUGGGAAGCGGAAUCUACUUCGCUUCGGAAAACAGCAAAUCGGCUGGAUAUGUGCGAUGCGCUGGAACAACUGGCAUAAUGUUCCUGAAUGAAGUUGCGUUAGGAAAGGAGCAUCUCAUUACUCAAGACAACUGGCAAUUAAAGGCAGCCCCAAAAGGCUACGAUUGUAUCAUUGCUAAAGGAUGGACGGAACCUGACCCAAAGAAGGAUACGAAGAUAAAAUUAGACGGCAAAGACGUGGUCGUCCCCCAGGGAGCCCCCGUCUCUCAGCCAGAGUAUAACCAAAAAAGCAGUUUCUCACAGAGUGAGUACCUUGUAUACAAGGAAAGUCAGAACAUGAUGCGCUAUCUGGUCAUGGUCGACUUAAAGUAGCCCUUCAGGACAUGAUGCGCUAACUCGUCAUGGUCGACUUGUAGCACUCACUUCGUUCACUUUAAAUCAUAAAACGUAUGUAGUCAAAACUUAGAUACUAUUAUGUUUUGAGUGUAUGCACUUCUAACUGUUCUCUAAAGACAUCACAGGGUAAAUGUUUGUUAUCACUGACAAUAGGUGUACGUGUUGCAUUCAAUAUUAUAGGUUGUGUUUUUCUUAUCCAAACAAAUACUGUGAUAUGAGUGUGUUAAUUAGUUAUUUUUUUAUUUGUGUUAUCUUCCUCUACUGGAAUGUCAGAUUAAGGUCAGAGUUUGAUUAAUGUAGUUUUUUAUCGUUAUUUUUCCUCUUGGGAAUUUGAUCAAAACAAGGCAGACAUUUCAUGAUUUCAUUGCUAAAACAUUUCUGCAUUUUUAGUAACAUUCUUCAAAAUCAUGCGAUUUUCGUUUUGAAGGCCUGGUUCGUCAUUAUCUCCUAUCAAAAGCGAUCCAAGUAUUUUUUAUACGUUAUUCCAUUCCAUUAUAUACACAGUCAUGCCUGUAGAAGGAUGGUGAUAUCCUAUGUGUAUACAUUUUUUCUUAUAUCUGUAUUGUGAGAUUAGCAUUUUUUGCACUAUUCACAUUUUUUACGAUCGGAUUAAUUUUUAAAUAUUCCGUGUAAAUUUUCUGGUUUUUUUUAACAUUUCUUUUUACAUCGCAUGUUCGUAAGAUUUAUGCUCGAGUUUUAUCGAUUGGAGUGGCUCCAGAAAAUGAAUUUGUCGAUUUGAUUGUUUUCCAUAACUAUCAAUUUGCCCACUUUUCAGUGCUUUAAAACUGACCAGGUUUUACAUACAGGUAUUUAGUUGUUAUGCAGUAGUCUUUGUAAACGUUUUGUCGUUACUUUGUCUUUGAAUAAAGUAUAUUGUAGUUUUAG